rnacentral:piRNA from 1 species
UGCCUUUGAGUUUCAAAUAUACUUCUAUGC